AAUUAAAAAAGAUUUGAAUUUCAGAUUUAAAAAAAAGAUGGAUAAGGAGUUUUUCAAGCAUAUCACUCCUCUCCCCAAGACUCUGACCUGUGGAUUCUCUCUUGAACACUACCCCUACAACCCAGGCUUCUUAAUAUUGCUGGUUUGAAGCCAUCCUGUGUAAGAGGGAAGAUCCAAGUGCUCAUCUGGCCCUAGAAAUAAGGCUCUGGGUUCUGAGCCUGAAUCUCCAGAACACAGGAGCUAUGUGGAGAGUUGAUGGAGGGACAUUCCAGGCAGAGAGAACAGCAAACACAAAGGCCUUGAAGGGAGCGGUGGCUUACAUCUGCAAUCCCACCACUUUGGGAGGCUGAGGCAGGUGGAUUGCUUGAUCUCAGGAGUUCGAGACCAGCCUGGGCAAUGUGGUGAAACCCAGUCUCUACCAAAAAAUACAAAAAUUAGCCGGGCAUGGUGAGCAUGCCUCUGGUCCCAGCUACCCAGGAGGCUGAGGUGGGAGAAUCACUUGAGCCUAGAAGGUCAAGGCUGCAGUGAGCCGUGAUUGAGCCACUGCAUUCCAGCCUGGGUGAUAGGGCUCAACACCACAUGGAAGCUGCCAAGGCUUGGGGCUCGCACCAUCUGAAGACAUGGUCUGAACUCUACGUUGGCCCUUUCAGCCAUGGCUGGAGCAGCUGGAACGCAGGGCAUCAAGUCUCUUGGCUGCACACAGCUCAGGGAAGCUGGACCUGGCCCAUGAAACCACUUUUUCUUCCUAUGCCUCCAGACCUGUGAUGGGAGGAGCUGCCAUGAAGACCUCUGACAUGCCCUAGAAACAUUUUCCCCAUUGUCUUAGGGAUUAACAUUCUGUGCCUUGUUGCUUAAGUAAAUUUCUGCCUCAUUGUCAGGCUGCAAAUUUUC
rnacentral:lncRNA from 1 species